rnacentral:rRNA from 1 species
CAGUCGCCGCGGGAAUACGGAGGGUGCAAGCGUUAAUCGGAAUUACUGGGCGUAAAGCGCACGCAGGCGGUCUGACAAGUCAGAUGUGAAAUCCCCGGGCUUAACCUGGGAACUGCAUUUGAAACUGUCAGGCUGGAGUCUUGUAGAGGGGGGUGGAAUUCCAGGUGUAGCGGUGAAAUGCGUAGAGAUCUGGAGGAAUACCGGUGGCGAAGGCGGCCCCCUGGACAAAGACUGACGCUCAGGUUCGAAAGCGUGGGGAGCAAACAGGAUUAGAUACCCCGGUAGUCCCUGUCUCUUAUAC